rnacentral:rRNA from 1 species
CAAGGAAUUGACGGGGGCCCGCACAAGCGGUGGAGCAUGUGGUUUAAUUCGAUGAUACGCGAGGAACCUUACCUGGGCUCAAAUGUAUGUUGACGUAUUCUGAAAGGGAUACUUCUUCGGACAAUAUACAAGGUGCUGCAUGGUUGUCGUCAGCUCGUGCCGUGAGGUGUCGGGUUAAGUCCCAUAACGAGCGCAACCCCUAUCAUUAGUUGCCAUCAGGUCAAGCUGGGGACUCUAAUGAAACUGCCUACGCAAGUAGUGAGGAAGGUGGGGAUGACGUCAAAUCAGCACGGCCCUUACGUCCAGGGCGACACACGUGCUACAAUGGCCGGCACAGCGGGAAGCGGAGGGGCGACCCUGAGCGGAUCCCUUGAAAGCCGGUCCCAGUUCGGAUUGCAGUCUGCAACUCGACUGCAUGAAGUUGGAAUCGCUAGUAAUCGCGGAUCAGCCAAGCCGCGGUGAAUACGUUCCCGGGCCUU